GGCGAGAUGGCCGAGCGGUCUAAGGCGCCAGACUAAGGACCAGGGCACGUAGAUGUCCAACUUCCUCUUUCGAGGUAUCUGGUCUUUCGGGGCGUGGGUUCGAAUCCCACUCUCGUCA
rnacentral:tRNA from 1 species